rnacentral:rRNA from 1 species
AGUGAACGCUGGCGGUAGGCCUAACACAUGCAAGUCGAACGGCAGCACAGUAAGAGCUUGCUCUUACGGGUGGCGAGUGGCGGACGGGUGAGGAAUACAUCGGAAUCUACUUUUUCGUGGGGGAUAACGUAGGGAAACUUACGCUAAUACCGCAUACGACCUACGGGUGAAAGCAGGGGAUCUUCGGACCUUGCGCGAUUGAAUGAGCCGAUGUCGGAUUAGCUAGUUGGCGGGGUAAAGGCCCACCAAGGCGACGAUCCGUAGCUGGUCUGAGAGGAUGAUCAGCCACACUGGAACUGAGACACGGUCCAGACUCCUACGGGAGGCAGCAGUGGGGAAUAUUGGACAAUGGGCGAAAGCAUGAUCCAGCAAUACCGCGUGGGUGAAGAAGGCCUUCGGGUUGUAAAGCCCUUUUGUUGGGAAAGAAAAGCAGCAGGUUAAUACCCCGCUGUUCUGACGGUACCCAAAGAAUAAGCACCGGCUAACUUCGUG